rnacentral:miRNA from 1 species
AGUGAUGCCAUUUUGGGCCUGUGGUUUUCUUUUUAAC